AAAAUAAAGUAAAAUAAAAUUAGUUUGUCGUUAUUCCAUUCAUUCCCGCAGAUUUGUGAAGUCCGCCUCAAGUUUACUAACCCUCAGAUAAAACCCUCAAACCCUAAAUUGAACUUCUCAAGUUCUUCGUUUCAUAUGAGCAAUGAGCCGCUUCUUCGGUCCGGAAUUCCUAGCAAAUUCUUCAAGUCCCUCUUUCUCUCUUUAUUUCACCAAAUAUGCUAUGGAUUUAGGGGUUUAUUAGUCGUUUUUGUUCAAUUGAUUGAUGAAGUUGGGUUGGAUUUGGCUGUCAAAUUCUUUAAUCGUAAUUAUAAAAUUCUGCAGAAAAUUAUGUAAUUUAUUAACGCUCAAGCCGAAAAUGGUUAUUUCUGCAAUCGAGCAUAUUGGUAUCCUACUUUAGGGAUAUACGAGUCUAGUACAACCAAUUCGCAGAUAACUUGACUGAGGCUCUGAUGUUCCUGUCACAUUUUGUUGGUGAUGUUCACCAGGUUGUCAAUCAUUUGAUUAAUUAGCUGAGGCUAGAGAUGUGGGGGAUUGUUUGCAAGCACAUGAAGCUCGGAUAUCUCAUAUCUGCUUCUAAGGCUCAAGCAGCUUUCAGGAGGCAACGUUCCAUUGGUAGCACAUGAGAUUUUUAAAUCCAAUCUCCAGAUCGAGUUAUAGGUUUUAAAGGAGUAAUAAAGUUUAAAGAUACAAGGGACAACAUUGUAGUAGAAAAAGAACUCCACCAGAACAAAUUUCUUGCAUGUCACGUGGAGGAAGUGAAGAGAACAACGAAAUGAAGACAAUAUUACUUUGGUUGAGUUAAUGAAAAUAUUCGAAGAUAUGUUGGUGUCACAACUUAAUGUUGCAAUUCCUACUUCACAAGAUGGUUCUGAAAUGUCCAAGUACUUAAAGAUGUGAAGUUAUCACACUUCAUAUCGGUUUAGAGUCUUUGAUUUUUGUUUUUUUUGGAAGUUUAAGAACAGGAAAUUAUUUAGAUAUUCCUCUAGUUUAUGACAUGAAAUUUAAUCUUUAGUGUGGAUGUUUGGUUGUUUUGAUGAGCCGUAUCAUAAUUUUUAUUGAUUUUGUUUAAUGAAAAUUUUGUUUAGUU